rnacentral:lncRNA from 1 species
CUUCCCCUUCCCCUUCCCCUUCCUCCCCUUCCCCUUCCCCUAUCUGCUCAUGGAUUGUCCUCUUCUCUGGCACCACAGGAAUGAAUGAAAUCCCAGGGCUGAUUUAAACUGCCACUAAUAUAUGGGAUUAUGGCAUACCCUGCUUUAUAUCCAGUGCCUUUGGAGUUUUUGAAAUGAGGUGGGGAUCUGCUUUCCAGAGCUCUCUGAGAAACUAUGGACAACUCAUGUAUAAAUGGAAAAACAGGACUUCAGUUGUUCAAGAAAACCAGAAUUGUUAUACAGAAGACAAUGAAUGAAUCCUUUUUUUCUGCCUGCUUGUAGAAUACGUGAGGUCUGCUGACCUCAAAUCACUCUCAGUUUGGGAAGCUGUGAAAAACUCUUCCUAAACUUCCCACUGAAGCUGUAGAAUGAUAUUGCAGAAUGAUACAGAGCUCUUUUGGCUACUGAUGGGACAUACUGCUGAUUUCAAGUCCAUGAAAUCUGGAGAGAAUUCAGGGCACACAGACUGGCUUCCCUUCAGCCAAGAUGAAAAAGCCUGAAUUCAAUUCUCCAGAUUGGAAGAUUAAGAGAUGCAGUGUCAGCCCAGAUCCUGCCUGAGAGCUUUGCUCCUGGCUGCUGUGGCAGAUCUUUGUGCUGGAGGACAGAUGUUCUACACGGUGCAGGGGGUCUGGGUCAGGCAGCAGCACUUGGAGCAUGUUGGAUGUUGGGAAUCUCCUCUCAGGCACCUCCCAGUUCCAGGCCUUAGCACCAGCUAUCAUGGGAUUAAUAAGAUACAUUGUUCCCAGGAAAAUAUGUGCACUCAUGGAGAACCUUAUUGACAUUGCUGCAGAGAGGGAUUCAGAUCCUUCUCCAGUCAGGUUUGUGCCACACUGUGGCCAUUGGAGCCCCUGGUAUCGUGUACAGACACAAGAUGUGUGUUGUGCCUCUCCUGGCAAUCAGCCCUGGGGGAGCCUCCAGGAGACAACACCGGGAGCAAUCUGGAAAGACUCACAAGUUGUUCCUGACAUUUGGCAGCUAAAAUUACCUCAGAUUCAUGAAGACACCCAGAGAAGUUGCUCUCCUCUUAAAAUAUGCUGAAUUUCAUUUCUUUGAGAGCUGAAAUGAGAAGGGCUUCUACCACUUUACAAAUUUGGUUGAAAUAGGCUGAAGGUGCAGUGAUCAGUGAUGUGGCAAAGAUGGGCAGAGGUAGUUGCAAAAGCCUGGCUAUUUUAAGGAGGGAGUUUUCUGCCCUAGUGAUUUUAGGAAGUAGUGAAAUGUUUCUAAAACUUUUGAAAGAAAUUUCCAUUAUUCUCAUUUCAAAUCUGAUAAAAAAGUGAUCCCUCCCCACCCUGGAUUCUUCCAGAGGGAAAG